AGCUUCCCUUCGCCUCUGCGCUCUCGUUGGCGGUACGGUGCUCCUGCCCGUAGGCGGGCGGAGCCGGCUGCCGGCCUUUCUCCCCCUUGCCCGUCUAAGGCCAGGGCAGGGCCCCGAGGCGGGCGGGCCGCUGCAGUGUGAGCUGUGGAGGCCUCGCGCGCGCCUCCUGCUCUUCCCUCAGAGCUGCCCUGACUCAAUGGCCGAAGCCACUUCACAGUGAGAUUAAAUGAGAUUCCAGGAAAUAGGUCCUCCUUUCCCUCUGCAUGCAGGAAGAACAUUCUCCCAAAAGUUCCAAGCAGAGCCAGGAGUUGUGCAGAAAGAAGAUUGCUUUGCUCUUGGCCGAUGGAUUAGAGUAAAUGUAGAGAAAAUGGUACAUGCAGUCAUCAUCAUCAGCGACUGGAGAUGAACUAGAAGAAUGUAAUGGAGCAUGCAUCUGGCAUCAUGGCAUUCUUCUUAUGGGGUGCAGAGUGGCCUCCAGGCAAAGAGUCAGCAUAAUGGAUUUCUGCUUCAGUCCUCUAGGAUUUACUACGUGCAUUGAGGUAGCUCUUAGAGCAGGUUGGGGACCCAUUAUAUCAGAGACUGCAUGCAUACAUUCAUAAUGUGUAAUGAAAAACUGAUUCUUUUCCCCUCCCUUCCACCAAAAUCUCUAAAUCAAAUACCACGAAAUGUAGCAAGUCUGUAGCAUAAUUCCAGAAUUCCAGCUUUCUC